rnacentral:rRNA from 1 species
AUACGGAGGGGGCUAGCGUUGUUCGGAAUCACUGGGCGUAAAGGGCGCGCAGGCGGUUUGGUAAGUCAGAUGUGAAAGCCCACGGCUCAACCGUGGAAGUGCAUUUGAAACUGCCAGACUUGAGUACAAGAGGGGAAAGUGGAAUUCCCGGUGUAGAGGUGAAAUUCGUAGAUAUCGGGAGGAAUACCGGUGGCGAAGGCGACUUUCUGGCUGGAUACUGACGCUGAGGCGCGAAAGCGUGGGGAGCAAACAGGAUUAGAAACCCUAGUAGUCC